GGCUUAUUGGACAGUAAAGAAAAACAAUUUGAAGUCAGUGAUUCAACGUAAUCAUGAAGACAUAUGCAACCAUAUUUGCUAUAAUUUCAGUAAGUUGGGCGAUUCACCUUCAUUUUUGCGUGGCAGAUGUGGGCACAGCAACCUCUUAUGGCCCUCCUUACGUUCAUAAGUAUCGUUUGCUUGAUAAAGCAUUUCACCAAAACCUUUUGUUUUAGGUUUGAUUAUACUGUAAGGGGUUCUGAUUUGAUAUUCCGCUGGAUUAUAUGAGUCGAAAGGUUGUACGACCAUUUAUUAAUAUAUUUUCUGGUAGGUUGAUUUUUUUAUUUGGGUUUUGCAGCAACUUCUUGCUAUGGGUACAAUCAGAGGCAAUUCCCAGCAGGCAAUCUCUUUGGAGCGGCUAAUGACGCAAUUUGGGACAACCAGGCUGCCUGCGGAAGAAAGUACAGAAUCAGAUGUUUGAGCGGAACAAGUAAUGAAAGAGUUAAUCCAUAAAGAAAAAGAUCGCUUGUGGUAAAGAUUCUGGAUUACUGUUCUUCCGCUGGAUGCGAUAAUGGCUAUGCAACUUUCCAUUUAUCUGCGGAUGCGUUUUCUCACAUUGCUCAUUCCUCUGCUAAAAAGAUUAACGUCGAAUACGAACAAGUGUGAUCCAUCAGACUUGUUCACGAAGGUAUUUGAGGGGCUAAUGCUAGAGACGUGUGAUCCAUCAGACUUGUUAACUGUCGAUGCUUACUUCUAUACCCUCCGCUUUGUUAGAGGGAUAUUGUCAAACAUACAGAGCUUCAUUCAAUGUAUAUGCAGCGGUAGCAAGUUUAGAAUUUGAUGGUCAUCUGUAUCUAUUAUAUGUAAAUUUUAUGACAAUGGUUCUCAUUUAAAUGUUUU